AAAUAAUUAAAAAAAAAGUUUAGAAAAAAAAACUAUAAUCUAUAUUUUUAUUUAUUUCAUUUUAGAUAUUAGUAAAAGCUAUGUAUUAUAAAAACUUGAAUUCUAUAAAUCUAUUAUAAAGAUACAUAGUUUAUUUAAAAAGUUGAAAGAAUGAUAUGCCUGGUUUGUUUGUUGUAAGGGACGUAAGGCAAAUGAAGGGAGAUAACUUCGGAUAUAAUAAAUAAUACAAACAUAAAUGUGUAAUGUUAAAGAGUCGCCUUUUUAGGAACCCACUUUCAGAUGUAAGGUUAUGAUUGUA
rnacentral:lncRNA from 1 species